rnacentral:rRNA from 1 species
GACGAGCGCUGGCGGCGUGCCUAAUACAUGCAAGUAGAACGCACAGUUUAUACCGUAGCUUGCUACACCAUAGACUGUGAGUUGCGAACGGGUGAGUAACGCGUAGGUAGCCUGCCUGGUAGCGGGGGAUAACUAUUGGAAACGAUAGCUAAUACCGCAUAAUAUUAAUUAUUGCAUGAUAAUUAAUUGAAAGGUGCAAUUGCACCACUACCAGAUGGACCUGCGCUGUAUUAGCUAGUAGGUGAGGUAACGGCUCACCUAGGCGACGAUACAUAGCCGACCUGAGAGGGUGAUCGGCCACACUGGGACUGAGACACGGCCCAGACUCCUACGGGAGGCAGCAGUAGGGAAUCUUCGGCAAUGGACGAAAGUCUGACCGAGCAACGCCGCGUGAGUGAAGAAGGUUUUCGGAUCGUAAAGCUCUGUUGUAAGAGAAGAACGGGUGUGAGAGUGGAAAGUUCACACUGUGACGGUAUCUUACCAGAAAGGGACGGCUAACUACGUG